CUGAGAUUCGGUUCACAUUCAGCUUCGCCGUCUCGACCCCUUUUGGAGCUCCACCCCCCUCUGGUUCACUCGGCCCGGCUAUCACCCCUCUCACAGCCCCGCUCUCGGCGUUCCCUGUGCGGUCCCUCGGUUUCGUCUGGUUUCACCCGUUGUUUUUCUGGCUACCCUCACGGGACACCUUUAGUUUCAAUAAAAAAUUACUUUCUUUAUUCGCUCA